rnacentral:lncRNA from 1 species
CAAAAAUCUGCAAUUGGCAUUUCCCAUGUGAUGCUGCGUGUUGAGGGCUCAUCUGCUUCUCGUCCAGGACGACAUUUCCAGCUUCAUCUUUGAUCUUAACCCUCCCGGAGGCAUACUUGGUUUCCUGACAGCCGCUGCAAUACACAGUCUUGACGGUGCCAUCCGGGUACUCCCUCCUCUUGAACCGGGCUGUGUGGAUUUCUUUCUGCCCGUUGCUGAGCACAAUGGUUUUGUCGCCGUUCCUGAGAGGAGAAACACAUGGGAUGAAUAACAGUGAUUUUCACCUUGUACUGGAGACAGAACCCUUGGACGCUGAGGAACUCACUGUGGAGCCUGCUGAAAUACUGCUGCACUGCUUCUAUUUCAUUACAGGAACAGGAAGGUGAUUACAGUGCCUGCAUGUGGGGUGCAUUCACAGCUGCUUGAUGUGUUU